rnacentral:rRNA from 1 species
CGAUNAUGAUGGCAGAGAGGUCACACCCGUUCCCAUACCGAACACGGAAGUUAAGCUCUCUAGCGCCGAUGGUAGUUGGGACCUUGUCCCUGUGAGAGUAGGACGUCGCCAAGCA